UGACUNGAGUGCAGAAGGGGAGAGUGGAAUUCCAUGUGUAGCGGUGAAAUGCGUAGAUAUAUGGAGGANCACCAGUGGCGAAAGCGGCUCUCUGGUCUGUCACUGACGCUGUGGCUCGAAAGCGUGGGUAGCGAACAGGAUUAGAUACCCUGGUAGUCCACGCCGUAAACGAUGAGUGCUAGGUGUUAGGCCCUUUCCGGGGCUUAGUGCCGGAGCUAACGCAAUAAGCACUCCGCCUGGGGAGUACGACCGCAAGGUUGAAACUCAAAGGAAUUGACGGGGGCCCGCACAAGCGGUGGAGCAUGUGGUUUAAUUCGAAGCAACGCGAAGAACCUUACCAGGUCUUGACAUCCCGAUGCUAUUCUUAGAGAUAGGAAGUUACUUCGGUACAUCGGAGUCAGGUGGUGCAUGGUUGUCGUCAGCUCGUGUCGUGAGAUGUUGGGUUAAGUCCCGCAACGAGCGCAACCCUUAUUGUUAGUUGCCAUCAUUAAGUUGGGCACUCUAGCGAGACUGCCGGUAAUAAACCGGAGGAAGGUGGGGAUGACGUCAAAUCAUCAUGCCCCUUAUGACCUGGGCUACACACGUGCUACAAUGGUCGGUACAACGAGUUGCGAGCCGGUGACGGCAAGCUAAUCUCUGAAAGCCGAUCUCAGUUCGGAUUGGAGGCUGCAACUCGCCUCCAUGAAGUCGGAAUCGCUAGUAAUCGCGGAUCAGCACGCCGCGGUGAAUACGUUCCCGGGCCUUGUACACACCGCCCGUCACACCACGAGAGUUUGUAACACCCGAAGUCGGUGAGGUAACCUUUUAGGGGCCAGCCGCCUAAGGUGG
rnacentral:rRNA from 1 species